GGCAACAGUUACAUGCAUCUUCAACGGCGGAAAAAGCGCUGAGGAGAUACACCACCUGUAAUGUGUGUGGUCAAUUUGACUGUUAUCCCCAUUCAAGAUAGCUGCUGUUGCUUUAUGUUUGCCUUCAGAGAGUGGAUUCACCAUUCUGUACUUGGAUCUAAACAUAUCUGCAUAUACACAGAUGUCAAAUUAAUUUGAUGGCACUCCACUGACCACAAGGAAUUAGCAGGAAACUCUAUGUCUGUUGUACCUCAUCAAACUCAUAAAGCUGUAUGCAAAACCCA